rnacentral:tRNA from 1 species
GGGCCCGUAGCUCAGCGGUCAGAGCAGGCGGCUCAUAACCGCACGGUCCCUGGUUCGAACCCAGGCGGGCCCACCG